rnacentral:snRNA from 1 species
UAACUCUGGUGUUUCCUCAUUUGCGGAUAAAUCUUUCGCCUUUUACUAAAGAUUUUCGUGGGGAGGCACAAUACAAUACAAUGAGUCUUGCCUCAUUUUUUUCAGCUCUGUCUUCGGACGGAGU